UUGCUGGGACUAAAACUCUGGAGAAGUCUCAAAGACGCUCCGGAAGAAGUUGAAAAAAUCGAGGACACUGCUGUCAAAUUACUGGGGAUUCGUCCCCCGGAUUUGCCGCCACCUCUAGCUGAUUUAUUGCCUCGGAAUAUUUCGAACACGACUCGCGAGUGGAUGCAACAGUCGUUUGAUGCCCGUCAGCUCUGGAAUGAUUUAAUCGACCGCGAAAAUAUCAAAUCAGUGACUCCAGUUGUUGAUGCCGGGUCCUAGCAGUUGCUUAACUUCGCCGUGGGGUCAAGAACACGACGAAGUUUUACGUAUUCAAAAGAAAGUUUUAAAAAUAACAGACGUAAAGGACUUGGCAAGGUGAUACAUAUCGAUCUGACGGACGAUGAACCCAAAGAAACACGCGGGGAUAAAAAAGUAAACAAAAAGUCGAGAGAUAGUAAAGUGAGGAGUCUUGGGUGGCUGAAAAAAAUUGUUGAGCAGGAUAAAGUUAAAAGAAAAAACGAACGAAUAAAAAGUCAUGCUGAUGUGCAGAUUGUUGAUGCCCACAGUACUGGUAAUUCUUCUGAUAUUAUAAAUGACAAGCUGCCAAAUUAUAAACCUGUAUUUGUUAAUGAAGUUAGUGAGAGUAAACCUACGAAUUUAAUGUGUCAAGAUAUAAAUAACAGUACCUCAACUCAAGCUACCGCUAAUAGUAGUAAUAAUAAUAUUAAUAAUAAUAAUAAUAAUAAUAAUAAAAACAAUAGCAAACCAGAUGAUUUAUUAUUUUAUAACGAUAAAUUACUUUGUGAUGUGACUGGUAAUCAGUCUUGUUCUGGUGGGAAUAAAAGUUCAAAGGAUGUACAGGAAUUAAUUUUAAAUAAUAGAUCUAGGAAAGUUAUGGCUGAUGAUGAUAAUGAUAAUGAUUAUGAUAAACGUAUUAAUUUAAAUGAUAUUAAUAGUAUUAAUAAUUUAGAAAUGUGUCCUGUUACGACGACUGUCAGCUCGGAAGACUUGUCAGGUGAUGGUAUUUUUUGGGACGAUGUUAAUUUAUUUAAAUAUUCUGAUUAUAAAUUAGAAUUUGACAUUGAUGAUAAUUAUUCAAAUUUAAAACCGACAAAUUCAGCAGAUAAUGAUUUAAUGAGAGGAGUUAAUGAUAGUGAUGAAGUUAUUUUGAAGGAGACAGUUGAUAGUAUUGAUGAGUAUGAAAAUAAUGAAAUGCUUGAUAACAUUUUGCAAGAUAUGCCGAUUGAUUCGAUGCCGAUAUCGAGACCUGGUAACUGGAGUUACUUGUUCGAUUGUCAUCUUGCUAAUAUCGAGUCUCCGGACGCGAUACUGUCCAGCACGGAGCUGAUUGACCCGAAACUUACGAAUAAAAGUAAGGGUAUAAAGAGUUUUUCUAAACAUAAUUACAUGGUUUCGUUGGGACUCAGUAAGAAAGAGUUGAAUGAUGAAAGAAUUGACGGCGAAGAUAGAUUUGAUUGUGGGUUAAAUGAAGGAAGAGAUAAUUUUAAAAAUGAUGGGGAAAAUUUACUUACAGUUGAUAUUGAUAAGAGAGAUUUUAAUGAUUUUGCAAAACAGUCUUCCUCGGGUGUCUCUUCUACUACUUCUAUUAUUUCUGAACAAUCCGAAAUGGUCAGGGGUAAUGAUGACGAUUUUAUUGAUGCAAAAAGAUCUAAUCGUCAAAGGAAGAUUAGGAAAAGUUGUUUGAAGAGUAAUAAUGAGCCUGCUUUGAAGAAAAAGAAGAAAAAUAAUAUUUAUCAACACGGAAGAUUACAUUUGAAAAAAGGUAUAAGACUGAUAAAUAUUAAUAUCAUUAUUUUUAUAUAAAUUUAUAAACUUUUUUUUUUAAUUUUGUCAGUAACAAAAUUUUUAUUUUUUAAUUACGAGAAAAAAAAUUUAUUAAUUAGAAAUAUUAUUUUUUUAAACGAAAUUUAUUUUUAAAUUUAAAAAAUAAUUUAAAUACAACACUGAAGAUCAUCAAUGAAGAUACUAAUAAAUAAGACUGAUUCUGUGAUAAAUAAAUAUAUUAAUUAUCAAUUAAUUACUUAAAUUUACAUAAACUGUUAUUACAGAUCGUGAUUCAAUAAAAAAAAAUUGACAAGUUAUUGGCUUGAGGAUGCAGAUUUCAACGCUUAGAUCAAGAUUACUUCAUAAAAUAAUCCAUACAGUAUUUUAUAAUUACUUGAAAAAAAAAAGUUCAAUGCAAUUGCAGUUUUUUAAUACAAUUUAAUUAAGCCAACGUGUUCAGAUUUAUAUUUUAAAUUACUAUUUUAUAUAUAAAUAAUUAUUACUAUUAUGCUAAAAUUUUAAGCGUUUAAGGUAUAUUUAAUCAGUGCCAUUUUUAUUUUACUUAAUUGUAAUUAAUAAGCAUUUUAAACACUUGAAAAGUGCCCAUUCUU